rnacentral:snRNA from 1 species
AUCUGUUCUUAUCAGUUUAAUAUCUGAUACGUCCCCCUACCCGGGGACUUCAUAUUAAAUGGAGUUUUGAAUGACGGAGCUGGAGCCGGGGCUUGCUCCGUCCACUCCACGCAUCGGCCUGGUAUUGCAGUGUCUCCAGAAACGGUGU